rnacentral:rRNA from 1 species
AACGAACGCUGGCGGCGUGCCUAACACAUGCAAGUCGAACGGGAAAACCCGCAAGGGUGAGUACAGUGGCGCACGGGUGCGUAACACGUGGGUAAUCUGCCCAGAAGCCCGGAAUAACUCCCCGAAAGGGGUGCUAAUGCCGGAUGAGACCACGGGGACUUCGGUUCCUGGGGGAAAAGGUGGCCUCUGUAUACAAGCUAUCACUUCUGGCUGAGCCCGCGGCCCAUCAGCUAGUUGGCGGGGUAAUGGCCCACCAAGGCUACGACGGGUAGCUGGUCUGAGAGGACGAUCAGCCACACUGGAACUGAGACACGGUCCAGACUCCUACGGGAGGCAGCAGUGGGGAAUCUUGCGCAAUGGGCGAAAGCCUGACGCAGCAACGCCGCGUGUGUGAUGAAGGUCUUCGGAUCGUAAAGCACUGUCGGGAGGGACGAAUAAGGGCCGGGUGAACAAUCCGGUUCGACGACGGUACCUCCAGAGGAAGCACCGGCUAACUCUGUGCCAGCCGCCGCGGUAACAC